UACGGAAGGGGCAAGCGUUGUUCGGAAUCAUUGGGCGUAAAGGGCGCGUAGGUGGUCGUGUAUGUCUCCCGUGAAAGCAGACGGCUCAACCGUCUUCCGUCGGGAGAAACUGCAGGACUUGAGGCUGGGAGGGGCUGGUGGAAUUCCCCGUGUAGCGGUGAAAUGCGUAGAGAUGGGGGAGAACACUCGUGGCGAAGGCGGCCAGCUAGACCAGCACUGACACUGAGGCGCGAUAGCGUGGGGAGCAAACAGG
rnacentral:rRNA from 1 species